rnacentral:rRNA from 1 species
AUUAAGGGCAUUUGGUGGAUGCCUUGGCAUGCACAGGCGAAGAAGGACGUGAUACGCUGCGAUAAGCCGUGGGGAGCUGCGAAUAAGCUUUGAUCCAUGGAUUUCCGAAUGGGGGAACCCACCUUAAAUGCUUGGAGAAUCCAAGCCGUGCUUCGGUACGGUUUGGGUUUCCAAGCAUUGUAAUAAGGUAUCUGCAUCUGAAUACAUAGGGUGUAAGAAGCGAACUCAGGGAACUGAAACAUCUAAGUACCUGAAGGAAAGGACAUCAACCGAGACUCCGUAAGUAGUGGCGAGCGAACGCGGACCAGGCCAGUGGCAAUGAGGAAUAAAGUGGAACACUUUGGAAAAGGUGGCCAUAGCGGGUGAUAGCCCCGUACACGUAGAACACUCAUUGUCCUUGAGUAGGGCGGGACACGUGAAAUCCUGUCUGAACAUGGGGAGACCACUCUCCAAGCCUAAGUACUCGUGCAUGACCGAUAGCGAACAAGUACCGUGAGGGAAAGGUGAAAAGCACCCCGACGAGGGGAGUGAAAUAGAACCUGAAACCGGAUGCCUACAAGCAGUCGGAGCUCGAAAGGGUGACGGCGUACCUUUUGUAUAAUGGGUCAACGACUUAGUGUAGCAAGCAAGCUUAAGCCGGUAGGUGUAGGCGUAGCGAAAGCGAGUCUGAAUAGGGCG